AUUGAACGCUGGCGGCAGGCCUAACACAUGCAAGUCGAGCGGAGCGGCGGACGGGUGAGUAAUGCCUAGGAAUCUGCCAGGGAGUGGGGGAUAACGUACGGAAACGGGCGCUAAUACCGCAUCCUAUCAGAAGAGCCUAGGUCGGAAUGGGUAGUUGGUGGGGUAAAGGCCUACCAAGGCGACGAUCCGUAACUUGUCUUAGAGGAUGAUCAGUCACACUGGAACUGAGACACGGUACAGACUCCUACGUGAGGCAGAAGUGGGGAAUAUUGGACAAUGGGCGAAAGCCUGAUCCAGCCAUGCCGCGUGUGUGAAGAAGGUCUUCGGAUUGUAAAGCACUUUAAGUUGGGAGGCGUUACCAACAGAAUAAGCACCGGCUAACUUCGUGCCAGCAGCCGCGGUAAUAC
rnacentral:rRNA from 1 species